rnacentral:rRNA from 1 species
UGUUGCCAUCAGGUCAAUGCUGGGCACUCUGGCGGGACUGCCGGUGUAAGCCGAGAGGAAGGUGGGGAUGACGUCAAAUCAGCACGGCCCUUACGUCCGGGGCUACACACGUGUUACAAUGGUAGGUACAGAGGGCAGCUACCCUGCGAAGGGAUGCGAAUCUCGAAAGCCUAUCUCAGUUCGGAUUGGAGGCUGAAACCCGCCUCCAUAGAAGUUUGGAUUCGCUAGUAAUCGCGCAUCACCAUGGCGCGGUUGAAUACGUUCCCGGGUCUU